AACGAACGCUGGCGGCAGGCCUAACACAUGCAAGUCGAGCGGACAUCUUCGGAUGUUAGCGGCGGACGGGUGAGUAACGCGUGGGAACGUGCCCUUUGCUUCGGAAUAGCCUCGGGAAACUGGGAGUAAUACCGGAUGUACCCUUUGGGGGAAAGAUUUAUCGGCAAAGGAUCGGCCCGCGUUGGAUUAGGUAGUUGGUGGGGUAAUGGCCUACCAAGCCGACGAUCCAUAGCUGGUUUGAGAGGAUGAUCAGCCACACUGGGACUGAGACACGGCCCAGACUCCUACGGGAGGCAGCAGUAGGGAAUCUUAGACAAUGGGGGAAACCCUGAUCUAGCCAUGCCGCGUGAGCGAUGAAGGCCUUAGGGUUGUAAAGCUCUUUCACCGGGGAAGAUAAUGACGGUACCCGGAGAAGAAGCCCCGGCUAACUCCGUG
rnacentral:rRNA from 1 species